rnacentral:rRNA from 1 species
UGAGGAACAUGACCUUCGGCGGGGGAUGGCCGGCCCAACGGCCGGGUAAUACCGCGUACGACCUUCCGGGGACAUCCCUGGAUGGUGAAAGCAGCAAUGCGCCGAUGGAGUGCCUCGCGGCCUAUCAGCUAGUUGGUGAGGUAAUGGCUCACCAAGGCGACGACGGGUAGCCGGCCUGAGAGGGUGACCGGCCACACCGGGACUGAGACACGGCCCAGACUCCUACGGGAGGCAGCAGU